rnacentral:rRNA from 1 species
AGUCGAGAAUCUUUUGCAAUGGGCGAAAGCCUGACAAAGCGACGCCGUGUGAGUGAUGAAGGCCUUCGGGUUGUAAAACUCUUUCGCUUGGGAACAAGGAUAGGGGAAGAACAUUUUUCUAUCUUGAGGGUACCAGGUAAAGAAGCACUGGCUAACUCCGUGCCAGCAGCUGCGGUAAUACGGAGGGUGCAAGCAUUAAUCGGAUUUAUUGGGCGUAAAGGGCGCGUAGGCGGUAAUGUAAGUCAGAUGUGAAAUUCCGAGAGCUUAACUCCGGAGCUGCAUUUGAAACUACAUUUCUUGAGGGUUGACGGAGAAAAUGGAAUUCCAUGUGUAGCGGUGAAAUGCGUAGAUAUAUGGAAGAACACCAGUGGCGAAAGCGGUUUUCUAGUUAAUACCUGACGCUGAGGCGCGAGAGCAAGGGGAGCAAA